rnacentral:rRNA from 1 species
UGGGGAAUUUUGCACAAUGGGGGAAACCCUGAUGCAGCGACGCCGCGUGAUUUAGAAGGCCUUCGGGUUGUAAAAAUCUUUUCUAUGGGAAGAAAAUGACAGUACCAUAGGAAUAAGGACCGGCUAAUUACGUGCCAGCAGCCGCGGUAAUACGUAAGGUCCGAGCGUUGUCCGGAAUCAUUGGGCGUAAAGGGUACGUAGGCGGGUAAGCAAGUUAGAAGUGAAAUCCUGUAGCUCAACUACAGUAAGCUUUUAAAACUGCUCAUCUUGAGAUAUGGAAGGGAAAUUGGAAUUCCUAGUGUAGCGGUGAAAUGCGCAGAUAUUAGUAGGAAUACCGGUGGCGAAGGCGACUGUCUGGCCAUAAUCUGACGCUGGGGUACGAAAGCGUGGGUAGCAAACAGG